AUGUCACAGUGCGAGGCUCAUUGUUGGUUGGCAUCCCUGGGAAAGGCACAGGAGCUGAGCUGGGCCUGUGAAUGAAUAGAAUCUGGACAGGGAUGAGGCAAGGAGACAGGAGUGAUCUCUCCACCCUGGGCCCAGGUCUCUGUUAAUAUGGAACCAGUUCAUCACCCAAGAUAGGGGUCCUGCAGAGCAAGAAUGUUUCCCAGAAUGGCUGAUAAUGGUCUCCUCAGUGAAAAUUGAAUGACCUCUUGACUGUGGAUGGUGACAAUGAAGUCAAGUGCCAAGGGUGCUGAGUAAUGGGUGUGCAAUGUCAUAUUGCCUUAAAAGUACACAUUGGGAUUCACAGAACAAGGACAAAAGAGAGACUUCCACUGUGUCCUUUCUCUGUGGGAAGAAGGGUGGUCAUAUGAAAUCUGGGACUUUUUUCACAGGUGUUGUGUUGACAAGGAAUCAGUUCUUUGCACAGAGGUCUAUGUUAAUACGGAAUCAGUUUCUCACCCAAG
rnacentral:lncRNA from 1 species